rnacentral:rRNA from 1 species
UACGAAGGGUGCAAGCGUUAUCCGGAAUGAUUGGGCGUAAAGCGUCUGUAGGUGGCUUUUUAAGUUCGCCGUCAAAUCCCAGGGCUCAACCCUGGACAGGUGGUGGAAACUACCAAGCUAGAGUACGGUAGGGGCAGAGGGAAUUUCCGGUGGAGCGAUGAAAUGCGUAGAGAUCGGAAGGAACACCCAAGGCGAAAGCACUCUGCUGGGCCGACACUGACACUGAGAGACGAAAGCUAGGGGAGCAAAUGGG